AUGAACGGCGGCGGCGGCAAGAAGAAGUUCGGCGGCGGGCGGGUGCCGACGGGGACCCCCUCGCUGGCGUGGUCGUCGGUGGUGGUGGUCGCCUCCCUCCUCGCCGGCGCCUCCAUCGUCCACAACAUCUACAAGCCCGACAUGACCCUCCCGCCGGUGGAGGUCGCCGACGGCAACGGAGCCGGAGCCACAGCCGGCGGCAAGCGCAAGGAGAGCUGA
rnacentral:rRNA from 1 species